GCCGACGUGGCCGAAUAGCUAGGCACCGGUUUUGCCCCGUUCAUUGAAAGAGCGGCGGUUGAUGCUGGUGCGAAUCCAGUCGUCGGCCCCA
rnacentral:tRNA from 1 species